AGUGUUUGGAGUGGGGGAAACUUAGAACGAGUGCGAAUACCUGGAGAAUGGAGUGUAGUGAUGUUUGUGCAGUGACAAUAAACUAACGUUAUGGUGGAUUAAUUUCAUUAAAAUAUUAUGAAACGAGAUUAACAUGUCCAUGUACGGGUCUAGGUGCCUUUUUGGACCUGGACUUGGUUUGUACUGCAGAAGUCAUGAGUGCAGAUCUGUUUAACGUAACGUCUACCUCGAAGUAGUACGAACCAUGGUAAGAGGAAGUUUAUGGUUAAUACCAUAAACAUUUGAAGUAAGCGAGGCACGGGUUCAUACGAAAAUAAAGAGAGUAGAUGUUCAUCAGUACUCAGGACCUACAUGAGAAAGGACGACCCAAGGAAAUUUUUUGAGCCAAUAAUUGAAAGAAUUAUGUGGAAGAUAAGAAGUAACUGAGAGCGAAGAUGUAUGUAUCAGGAGUGUGGACUUUGCUGAAACGUUAAAAAGUCAAGAUGAAGGUGGUUGAACCACUUUCAUAGAAUACACAAAGAGGACAGAAAUGGCACUGGAAGGAAAUCCUGGAGAAGGAAGACCAAAGAAAUAGUGGUUAGACGGCGUCCAGGACAAAAUGAUUAAGAACGGUGAAGAGAUGGAGGACAAAGGCAAUGGACAGAGGAGGAGGAGGAGAAUGGAGGAGAAUAUGUGAGGAGUCCAAGGUUCUUCAAGAACAGUGAAGCCAUGGAGUGAGUCAGUCAUACGUCUGUGAGACAAGGUAAACAAAUAAGCGGACAAUAUGUAUGAGCAGAUCAGAUAUUUUAUGGAGAAAACGCGUAGUGGACACAAAUGCUUUUGACAUUGCAGUUGCCUUUGGAAUAAUGGUUGUCUGUUCUGUUCAGGGAUAACAAGUUUUUUGAUAAUUUUAUUUUUAUUCUGUUAUAAUCGCGCAGAGACUUUACCACAGAUUUCCCUAUCCAAGAGGCAGCGAAAGAACGAUUGAAAUUUCAGUGCACCAGCACAGAUUAUGAAAUUAUAUACUUCAGGACAAUGAAAGGUCGAAGCUUCGUUUUUAGUUACACCUUUUCGUUGACGAAAAAUUGCUACCUUCAGUCGUCUCAUUAUUUGCCAAGAAUACGCAAGCUGUUGCUUUCAUGUUUUGACCAUUGGUUGAGAAAAAUUUACAUGUUUCAUGUACGCUGAGCGUAACCAUUUCGGAUUAAAUUUGAUAGAGUCAAAGUUUGUGUUAUACCCUAUAUUUUACCUAACACUGAAAUUACAACCGUACGUGAAAAUCAGUUAUGAGCAACAUUAGUUUGUCUUAAAUGCUGAUUAACGGGCCACGUGUUGAGGGGCCGGGAUUCGAUUUCCGGCUGAGAUUGUUCUCUGUUCCAAUUGGUACCUGCAGCAGAAGUGAGGAACCGAUCGACAAAUAAUUUAGAUGUGGCUCGUGAAAGAUUCCAUGACGAUAUGAAAGAAGUUGUGACCUUCUUGUAAGGUCAAGCUCUUACUUUUAAUAACAUAU